UACGAAGGGGGGCUAGCGUUGUUCGGAUUUACUGGGCGUAAAGCGCACGUAGGCGGAUUUUUUAAGUCAGGGGGUGAAAUCCCCGGGGCUCAACCCCCGGAACUGCCUUUUGAUACUGGAAGUCUUUGAGUAUGGUAGAGGUGAGUGGAAUUCCCGAGUGUAGAGGUGAAAUUCGUAGAUAUUCGGAGGAACACCAGUGGCGAAGGCGGCUCACUGGACCAUUACUGACGCUGAGGUGCGAAAGCGUGGGGAGCAAACAGG
rnacentral:rRNA from 1 species